rnacentral:sRNA from 1 species
UACUACAGACGAAAGGAAUGAUGGGUGGACAAUGAAGAACUAAUCUUAUUCUCAACUGUUUGAAAUAGCAUAUUUCAAAACACACGAAAUAGGAUUAGUCUGCCCAUUAUUUUAUAUCAUUCCACAGCUGUCGCAACAUGCAGCUUAUUUGAUAACGCAUAAGGUACGGCUAAUCCUUCCAACUCGCUUGGGGGGAUUUUUUA